rnacentral:rRNA from 1 species
GGUUAUAUAUUUCUUGUUAAUAAAUUGAGUUUAAAAGUUUAUAAGUGAAAAAUAAUUUUUAGUAAAAAAAAAGUAAUUUUUAGUGAUAAAAAUAUAUAACAAUAGGGGAAAGUACUGUGAAGGAAUGAAAAAUAAAAUAAAACAAAGAAAAGAUUAAAUUUUGUACCUUGUGUAUAAGGGAAAAUUAAUAUAAUUAAGAUAAUAUUUAAGGUCUCGAAAAAAAAAUAGCUAAUUUUAUAAAAGAGUUUUUGUAGGAUAAAAAUUUUUAAUAUAAAAUUAAAGAUGAAAUAUUAAACGAGUUUUAUUAUAUCUGGUUUUUUAAAAGGAAAAUUUAAUUUAGUUUGUAUAUUUAUAAAAGUAUAAAAGUAUAAGAUAGAAAGGUAAGCUUUUUAUUAUAGAAGAUGGAAUAGAAAAAUAAGUAGAUUUAUAUAUAAAUGAUCUAGGCUUAAAAGUAGCUAAGUUUUUAAAGUGUUUUAACUAAGUUGUUAAAAAAUAAAAAAUAUAUCUUUUCUUAAAUAUUAAAAAUUUAUUAGAAAUAUAAAAUAAUAAGAUAAAAUGAUUUUAUUAGUAGAAUAUUUAUUGUUAAAAAGCUGUAAAGUAAAAAGUUUAAAAUUUAGUAAAAGUGAAGUAUAUUAAAGGAAUUCGGUAAAAAUUUUUCUUGCCUGUUUAUCAAAAACAUGUCUAUUUGAAGUUAUAAAAAGUCUAGCCUGCCCACUGAUUUAGGGAAAAUAAAUUUAAGGGCCGCGGUAUUAUGACCGUGCAAAGGUAGCAUAAUCAUUAGGUUUUUAAAUGAGAUCUUGUAUGAAUGGUUGGACAAAGGAAAAACUGUCUUUAAGAUAUAGUUUUAAUUUUACUUUUAAGUGAGAAGGCUUAAAUAUUUUAGUGGGACGAUAAGACCCUAUAAAACUUUACAUUAAAAUAAUAUAUAAUUAAAUUUUAAAAUAUAAAAAUUUUAUAUGGUUAUUUGUUUUGUUGGGGAGAUAAAGGUAAAAUUUUUAUUAACUGCUUAAAAUAUAAACAUUUAUUGGUGCAUCUAAGAAUUAUAGAUCCUGUAUAUGUAUAGAUUAAAAGAUUAAGUUACUUUAGGGAUAACAGUGCAAUUUUUUUUAAGAGUUCAUAUCGAAAAAAAAGUUUACAACCUCGAUGUUGAAUUAAAAUGUCUUUAUAAUGUAGCUGUUAUAUUAGAAGGUUUGUUCGACCUAAANUUUUU